UAUUUCAACUCUUUGUAACGACCAAAAUGGGUCAAGUAUUGUAACCACUUCUGAAUAAUAAAAAGUUACUUUCAUAAUAAAAUGUAUAAAUAAGUUCUACUUAAAUUCCUUCUAUGAUUAAAUGUCUUUGAACCAUGAUCGUACGUGAAAAGAACGCCCAAAUCCGACUUCAUAUAGCGAAGUUAUGAUUUUUCCAAGUUCGGCUUAGCAACAGACAGCUAAAAACUCGAAUCGGAAAUCGAGCGACUUUUGGCCGGAAUGACCUAAACGAGAAUCGAAGGUCUCGACAAUGGUAUUCCAGCGGUAAAAAGUCUGGCAAAAACCGACAUCAGAUAAAGAAGUUAUGAAUUUUCUAAGAAAUUCCUUAAACACGAUGGAUUUUUAAUAAAUAAUAAAAAAAAUAAUUUUGGAAUUUGCCGACGGAGUCUAAACGAAAGUUGUAGAGCGUAGUCUCACCUACACGAGGAUAUAAAGACCAUCGAAAACGGAGUUCGUAUGAAGAAGAUAUGAAUUUUUGAAGUUUAUUAAAUAAAUUAAUUAUUUAUUUAAUUCAAAAUUCGGAUAUUAUCCGAAGGGGAGUCAGCAUCCUCCUCAGAGGUACGCGUUGCGUACCCCUGCAUGCCCCGCGUAACCGAGAGGAUUGGCCUCUGAUCGUCCAUGUCGCGCUAUCCGAAGAAACCGACCCGUCCGACCCGUCCGAAGCCCCGACCCGUCCGACCCGACGUCCCAUCCGACCCGCAUACCCAGCAACCCGUCCCAUCCGAACCGAGGCAGUCGAGGCUUCGGUCAUGCAUGACGUACGCGUACGCGCUGCGUACGAGCGUACGCCCCGCGUACCGAGGCAGACCAGCCUUACUAUAAAUAGGAUGCGAGGGUUUCCAAAGAAAGGGUUCAUUUCUCUUCUCUCUCUCUCAACUUUGCCUCGUUUUCCGUGUCCGUUCAAACCCGAAGCUCUGGUCUUUUUGGCUCAAGUCCCGAAGGUCGAUUUUACUCCCGAGAUUCCCGAGAAUCCCGAGGAAAAUCCGUUUCCCGAGACGAAACUCUGCCCGGUUUUCCAUCUCGCUAUCUCCAAAACUUUCAAGUGAGUUUCAUACCCCUUAAUCAACCUUUUUAAUUAUUCUAAAUACUUUUAUAUGCUUUCAAGGGGGGGAUUACAAGUAAAACACACGAGUAUUAUCGUGUGUUACAUAAAGAAACUCUUUUAUAUACUGUUAUAUAUUCAAAUCACAUGCGAUUUAUAAACAUUUAAAGGAACUUUUAUAUAUAUAUAACAUAUGUCACAAUAGCAUUUUACCUUUUAAAAUAUAAUGUUGUUGUAAUGCAUGUAUAAACUAAACUGUUCUUAGAUUUUUCUUGUCUAUCCUAGACUCUACACCAAAAAUCUAUACUUUCAUAAACAAGUGAUUCCUUUUCUCAAUAUUUCUAAACAAACAAGACACGCUUUUUGGAAACUAUAAUAGGUAUAGUUUUACGAACAGAUUUCUAACUCUUAUGUACUAGAAACACAUAUUUCAAGAAGUUUACUUUCGUAUACAAGAACAAACGUAACAUUUUAACAAGUAGAUCUGUUUUUAUACCACGGAUUUGUGAGACACUAACUUCAUGUACGUUCGAGUACACAUUUCAAGUCCUGUAUUAUAUACCAGAAUCCCUUGGAGGGGGAGCAUGGUGUUUGUGUAUAGAUCUAUACGGGCUUGACAACCCGCGCCCUGACUGUUAGCUGCAGUCCACCGUUUGGGGUGACAAACGUCAUAACAUUCCAACGCCUGAAGAACGUUGUGUAUAGGCAUUCAGAGUCAAUAGUAUGGUUAUAAAACUCACAAGGGGUAUUAAAAAUGCAUUGAUUUACAAGGUUUUCAAACUCAUUGGUUAUUUUACAUUUACAUACAUUUUGGAAACAAACAUUGGUCUUGAGUGAAGGCUACUUUUAUACUAGUAGAAAAUAUAGGAUUUUCUAAACACAAACAAACAAAGAUAAAACAUUUCAUUUCAUUCAAACAUUGUCACUUAAAUACUUAUGAAAUUCACCAGCUUAAAUGCUGAUCUACUCUUUCAAAAUUACUUGUAUGUCCCAGGAAAUCAGUAAUUUCAGGUAUUCAUUUCGCUUUUGAUGAAGGGAUGCUGCGGCGCCAGUUUAAUCUCGUAUUUUGACAUCAUAUUGUAAUUGAGUUUUGAACAUGUAACUUUUGACAAAUGUAAACUUUCAAUUAUAUAUAUGAUGGUUGUAUUGCUUUCUUUACUAUGUAUUCAUUUGUUACGUUACCACAUGAAGUCAUCCGCCCCCGAACGUUUCCGCCGUUCAGGUUUGGGGGUGUGACAGAUUGGUAUCAGAGCAAUGUUUAUAGUGAACUAAGUAUAUCGAACCACAUAAGAUAUACAAACUAUAAAUGCUUAAGGGACUAAUACUCUCUGACAAAACAAAUUUUCUUUUUACACUUAAGCAGCAUUUCGUUCAACUUAAAUUGAUAGUUCAUUUAAGUACAAUUACAUGCAUACCACAAACUAUUUUCAUGUUAUACAACUAUACAAGUAUUUAGACAAGUUGACACUACGAUUGAGACUCGAUAUAUGUAAUCAGAUUUUGGACAAAUAUAGCGUGAUCAACUAUAUUUGCCCAAGAUUGGACCAACGUAUAUCGAGGAAUGAUCGUAGUAAGCAACAAGUCAAAACUUACCAAACCAUUACAAGAAUCAAACACAAGAAUUUAAAUACUAUAGGAGUAUUUGCUAUCUAAACUAGUUUAACUUACAUGUUUUACAUGUUCCGACUUUAUUCAAUUCUUAUAACCCUAUUUCUCGUACAGUCAAAUGGCUGGAUUUCACCACCCUGGCGACCCCUACUUUCCCAACCAAGGCAACGGAGGAUGGAUCGAAGAUGAUCCCGAAGAGGACGAGGAACCCAUAGAAGUGGGUGAUGACUCCGGUACCGACUCAGAGCCGGAAGUUAUCGAUCCACCACCCAUUCAACCUCCCGUCUUCGUAAGGAACUUUCAAGGACCGACUCCCGUCUGGGGAAGUCACCUCCACCAUUGGAGCCAACAGCAAAACCUACGCCCUCCCUACGGCAUGUGCCGGGACUUCUAUGAUGUCCGCGGCGGAGGUUCGGCUGAUCGAGCACUCCCGGUAAUGGUGGGUAAGUUAGCCAAUCAGUCCUAUCAGUCUGGAGUACAAGCUAGUCGACUCCGGGAUAUCAACGUGGAAGUGCAGGUUCACACUUCUGACAUCCGUAGGCUGGACAAGAUGCAAGACAACGCUCAAUUCCAAACCGAAGCGUUUCAAGCGCAAAUGAUUGCAGCCCUCGCCGAACUAAGGGAACAACAAGCCGCUUUCGAUAGGCGUCUAAUGGAGUCAAAGCAAUCAGAUACGGAGUCAAGCUCCAAGCGCAACCUUCGACGCAAGUAGUGCUUGUCAAGGACUCAAAUUUUGUUAUAGCUUAGGACCUCGGCUAAAAGUCUUUAAAUUUCUCGAACUUUGUAAUCGGAGACCCUUAUAGGGGUCAAAUUUUCAUGAUCGUUGUAACAACUUUUAUAUUAAUAUAAGUGGCACUAUUACUACUAUGUUGAGUAUUUCGUUCGAACCUUGAAUGGUCUUUGUGAACCCAAAUACUUGUUUCAUACCUUCAGUCUUACAAAUAACUUUCAUUCUUCUAUUUUAAGACUCAUACUAUCAUCUGUUGUUGAACUAUAGCGAUUUAGUUCAUGAGACACAUACAUUUUCCAUUCUAUGAAAUUCUUAUCCUUGUCUUUUCAAUCUAUAGUUGAAGGAUGCCUCCGCGUAGGAAUCCAAGGCGAAACAACGGUGAGGAAGCACCUAUACCACCACCACCUCCACCACCCCAAUUUGAUGCUGUAAUGUUUCAAGCAGCAGUCACCGCAGCGGUGGCAGCUGCCAUGUCACAGAUCAAUAACUCGAGUACUAAUGGCUCGGGAUCUGGCACACACCUAUCCAACCAUGGCGAGAGUCAUGGACCACCUCGAGAAUGCACCUAUAAGGACUUCACUAAUGCCAAGCCCCGGAUGUUUUAUGGUACUGGUGGUGUGAUGGCCCUGAGGCAGUGGAUUGAAAGGACGGAGGCAGUCUUUGAAAUCUGCUCCUGCCCCGAGCACAGCAAGGUCAAAUUUGCAACUUUCACCCUUCUCGAUAAAGCUUUAACUUGGUGGAAUGGCCACGUUAAAGUACUUACCCUAAUCGUGGCAAACUCCAUAAGCUGGGAGAGCUUGAAGGCCAUGAUGAUGAGAGAAUACUGCCCACGGGGAGAAAUUCAAAAGCUUGAACACGAGCUAUGGACUCUCGGAAUGGUGGGUACCGACAUCGCUACUUAUACCAACAGAUUCUGCGAACUGGCAAUCCUUUGUCCAGAUAUGAUUGCUCCCGAGAGCAAGAAGAUAGAAAGGUACAUCUGGGGACUGACGCCCCAAAUGCGAUCAAGCGUGUUAGCUUCUAAACCUGACACCUUUGAAAGUGCUAAGGAACUGGCACAAUCUCUGAUCGACUACGGAGGUCAUCAGAACUCAACCACUUCUGCACCAGCACCACAGAAAGGAAACAACAACAACAACAACAACAACAACAACAACAACAAUGGCAGGAAGAGAGCGUGGAUUAAAGGGAAGGGUGGGUCUUCCCAAGAAUCCGCAAAGAAACAACUGGUGUCAGUAAAUGCUGCCAUUGUACCUGCUACAGCCCCUACAAAUACCUACCCAACAAAGCCUUAUAUAGGUAACCUCCCAAAAUGCACCAAAUGCAAUUACCACCACCAUGGACCUUGUCGAGAUAUGCAGUGCGCCAACUGCAGCAGGAAAGGACACACAGCCCGUUUCUGCAAGGAACCCGCAAAGCCGAUCACUCAAGUUCCCGGUGCGGGUGUAGGGCAGGCUUGCUACGGUUGUGGCGAGGUGGGCCACUACAAGAGAAACUGUCCUAAGGCAGCAGGCACCGGAGGUGUGGGACGAGUUUUGGCAAUAGGCCACGACGAAGCUGUAGCUGACCCAACUAUAGUUGCUGGUACGUUCCUUCUCGAUAAUUCAUACGCAUGCAUAUUAUUCGAUAGUGGAGCGGAGAGAAGCUUCGUGAGUCAAAACUUUAUUCAUUUACUUAAACCUAAACCUAGCAAGUUAGAAAAAUCAUUCACUGUAGAGAUGGCCAAUGGAAAAACCGAAAACACAAAUUGCAUAUACAUGGGCUGUACGUUAACAUUAGACGGCCAUUCUUUCCCAAUCAAUCUCAUGCCGGUUCAAAUUAAAAGUUUCGACGUCAUAGUCGGCAUGGAUUGGUUGAGUCUUCUUCGCGCCGACAUCAUGUGCUUUGAGAAAGCAGUCCGUCUUAACCUCCCUAACAACGAAACAUUAGUUAUCUACGGCGACAAAUCUAGUGCAAACCUUCGCAUCAUUUCGUGCAUCCAAGCUCGAAAGUGCUUGCGGAAGGAUUGUCGAGCAUUCCUAGCGCACAUCGUCGAUACAAGUCAAGAACUGAAGGACAUCAAGAGCAUCUCGGUAGUACGCGACUUUCCCGAUAUCUUUCCAGAAGAACUACCAGGAUUACCACCGCAACGCCAAGUCGAGUUCAGAAUCGACUUAAUUCCAGGAGCUACCCCAGUAGCGAAGUCGCCUUAUCGUCUUGCACCAGCAGAGAUGCAGGAACUUUCCAGUCAACUUAAUGAACUCCUUCACAAAGGAUUCAUAAGACCAAGUUUCUCACCUUGGGGAGCACCGGUCUUGUUUGUAAAGAAGAAAGACGGAUCGUUCCGUAUGUGCAUCGACUACAGAGAGCUGAACAAACUUACUGUCAAGAACCGCUAUCCUCUACCCCGUAUCGACGACCUAUUCGAUCAACUUCAAGGGGCGAACUACUUCUCCAAAAUAGACCUGCGAUCCGGAUAUCACCAAUUACGAGUUCUAGAGGGGGACAUUCCAAAGACAGCCUUCCGAACUCGUUAUGGACACUACGAAUUCGUGGUGAUGCCGUUCGGAUUAACCAAUGCACCAGCAGUAUUUAUGGACCUAAUGAAUAGGGUAUGCCGCCCUUACUUGGAUCAGUUCGUCAUCGUCUUUAUCGAUGAUAUACUUAUCUACUCUCGAAGUGAGGAAGAGCAUAGUCAACACCUACGAAAAGUCCUAGAAACACUGCGAACGGAGAAACUCUAUGCGAAGUUCUCUAAAUGCGAAUUUUGGAUUCGAAGAGUCGAAUUUUUAGGUCACGUUGUUAGCGAGAAAGGUAUACACGUGGACCCCUCCAAAAUUAAGGCUAUUGAGAACUGGUCGGCACCAAAGACACCUACAGAAAUUCGUCAAUUUCUAGGUCUAGCUGGCUACUAUCGCAGAUUCAUAAAGAACUUUUCGAGCAUUGCGAAACCUCUUACUUCAUUAACCCAGAAAGGUGUGGCCUUUGACUGGGAAGCGAAACAAGAGAAGGCAUUCCAGACACUAAAGCAGGCCUUGUGCACCGCACCGAUACUAUCCCUCCCCGAAGGGAUAGAAGACUUCGUAGUGUAUUGCGAUGCUUCAAAUCAAGGACUUGGUUGUGUUCUUAUGCAGAGAGGGAAGGUUAUCGCUUAUGCCUCCCGACAGCUUAAGACACACGAAGUGAACUAUACGACACACGACCUCGAGUUAGGAGCAGUGGUAUUUGCUCUGAAGAUCUGGAGGCACUACUUAUACGGAACAAAGAGUACUAUAUUCACCGAUCACAAGAGCCUUCAACACAUUUUCGAUCAGAAGGAACUCAACAUGCGACAACGACGAUGGGUUGAGUUACUGAAUGACUACGAAUGCGAAAUUCGUUAUCAUCCUGGCAAGGCCAACGUAGUAGCCGACGCCCUCAGUCGAAAGGAAUACACUGGUCGGAGGGUCAAAUCUCUGACCAUGACUAUCCAUUCCCACUUAUCCACACAAAUUAAGGAAGCACAAAUGGAAGCUUUGCAACCUGAAAAUGUGGCGGGUGAAUCCCUGCGAGGAAUGGAGAAGAAUUUAGAAGUCAAGGGUGGCGGAGCCUACUAUCUCAUGGACCGAAUCUGGACCCCAAAUCAUGGUGGUUUCAGAAACGUAGUCAUGACCGAGGCUCACAACUCAAGAUAUUCCGUUCACCCGGGUUCAGAUAAAAUGUAUCUGGAUCUUAAGAAACUGUACUGGUGGCCUAACAUGAAAGCAGAAAUUGCUACCUUCGUGAGUAAAUGUCUUACUUGCGCUAAGGUUAAGGUCGAGUAUCAGAAACCGUCAGGACUACUACAACAACCAGAGAUACCGGAAUGGAAAUGGGAGCGGAUUACUAUGGACUUCAUAACCAAGUUACCCAAGACGACAAGUGGACUCGAUACCAUAUGGGUCAUUGUCGACAGAUUGACCAAAUCCGCACAUUUCCUACCCAUCAAGGAGACUGACAAAAUGGAGAAGCUUACAAGAACUUACUUAAGGGAAGUAGUGCGACUGCAUGGUGUUCCGAUAUCCAUUAUCUCCGAUCGAGAUAGUAGAUUCACUUCAAGAUUCUGGCAGUCACUACAAAGUUCCCUGGGAACUAGGCUAGACAUGAGUACAGCCUACCACCCACAGACAGACGGACAAAGUGAGAGAACAAUACAAACUUUAGAAGACAUGCUGAGAGCCUGCGUGAUUGACUUUGGAAAGGCAUGGGAUAUUCAUUUACCCCUUGUCGAAUUUUCAUACAACAAUAGUUAUCAUACAAGCAUAAAGGCUGCUCCGUUUGAAGCCCUCUAUGGUCGAAAGUGCAGAUCCCCUCUGUGCUGGACUGAAGUUGGCGAUACCCAGUUAGCUAGAGGAAGAGUUCCUGAAAGCACUCUCACCGGUCCGGAGAUCAUACGUGAAACAACAGAGAAGAUCGUUCAGAUUCGUGAACGAUUGAAAGCCUCAAGAGACCGACAGAAAAGCUACGCUGACCAAAGGAGGAAACCUUUGGAAUUCCAGGUAGGAGACCACGUCUUAUUAAAGGUCUCACCGUGGAAGGGUUUAAUACGAUUUGGAAAGCGUGGGAAACUAAAUCCAAGAUACAUAGGGCCUUUCGAGAUUCUUGCCAGAAUCGGCCCUGUGGCUUACAAGCUUAACCUACCGCGCGAACUUAGUAACAUCCAUCCAACCUUCCACGUCUCAAACUUGAAAAAGUGUCUGUCCGACGAGACUCUUGUUAUUCCACUCGACGAGAUCGAGAUCAACGAGAGCCUCAACUUUGUGGAAGAACCAGUAGAAAUCAUGGACCGAGAGGUCAAACAAACAAAACAAAGUCGCAUACCCAUCGUGAAGGUUCGCUGGAACGCCAAGCGGGGACCCGAAUUCACAUGGGAACGCGAAGAUCAGAUGAAACAAAAGUACCCUCAUCUCUUUCAUGUUCACUAGUAUCUUUACUACUUUAAAUUUCGGGACGAAAUUCUCUCUAACGGGGGGAUGAUGUGACAACCCGAUAUUUCAACUCUUUGUAACGACCAAAAUGGGUCAAGUAUUGUAACCACUUCUGAAUAAUAAAAAGUUACUUUCAUAAUAAAAUGUAUAAAUAAGUUCUACUUAAUUUCCUUCUAUGAUUAAAUGUCUUUGAACCAUGAUCGUACGUGAAAAGAACGCCCAAAUCCGACUUCAUAUAGCGAAGUUAUGAUUUUUCCAAGUUCGGCUUAGCAACAGACAGCUAAAAACUCGAAUCGGAGAUCGAGCGACUUUUGGCCGGAAUGACCUAAACGAGAAUCGAAGGUCUCGACAAUGGUAUUCCAGCGGUAAAAAGUCUGGCAAAAACCGACAUCAGAUAAAGAAGUUAUGAAUUUUCAAAGAAAUUCCUUAAACACGAUGGGUUUUUAAUAAAUAAUAAAAAUAUAAUUUUGGAAUUUGCCGACGGAGUCUAAACGAAAGUUGUAGAGCGUAGUCUCACCUACGCGAGGAUAUAAAGACCAUCGAAAACGGAGUUCGUAUGAAGAAGAUAUGAAUUUUUGAAGUUUAUUAAAUAAAUUAAUUAUUUAUUUAAUUCAAAAUUCGGAUAUUAUCCGAAGGGGAGUCAGCAUCCUCCUCCGAGGUACGCGCUGCGUACCCCUGUACGCCCCGCGUAACCGAGAGGAUUGGCCUCUGAUCGUCCACGUCGCGCUAUCCGAAG
rnacentral:lncRNA from 1 species